CAGGAGUGACAGCGCGUCUGACUGACUGGGAGGUCGCGCAAAGCUCGGACAGUGUGCUUUGGUCAAGCUGGAUGGAUGUGUUCAUGCCUGGCAACCCUGCUUACGCAGAUCGUUGUGGAUGAUGGGAUAUAGUUCUGUUUUGUUGUGAUAACCAAGGGUCGCAGGCAAGCUGGAGCCUGUCCCAGCUGACAACGGGCGAAAGGCGGGGUACACCCUGGACAAGUCGCCAGGUCAUCACAGGGCUGACACAUAGACACAGACAACCAUUCACACCUACGGUCAAUUUAGAGUCACCAGUUAACCUAACCUGCAUGUCUUUGGACUGUGGGGGAAACCCACGCGGACACGGGGAGAACAUGCAAACUCCGCACAGAAAGGCCCUCGCUGGCUAUGGGGCUCGAACCCGGACCUUCUUGCUGUGAGGCGACAGUGCUAACCACUACACCACCGUGCCGCCCCAAGUUAAGUCAUGGAUGCAAGUUCAAGUUCCAAUUCCUCAGAUCACUGCCAGAGGAAUCAAAGUAAGAGGAAUCAAAGCUGUCCAUCAUCCCAAGGAAAUGAAGCACCAGUCACACAGGAUCUUAAAACAGAACACAAGACUGAUUCACUGGGAGUAGCACCUGAACUUCCCCAGUGCAAAAUGGGUAGCAAGAAGGUAGACGACAUGAGUUUCAUGAUAUCGUGUACAAACUGGUACUAAGCACAUGGCAUGUGAUAUGUGAUCACUUCCUGAGUACCAAAUUCGGUGUGAGAUCAAUCAGUGAAGAAAAGAAAAUGGAUGAUGACAAUCUGAGGCACCUUCCUAAAAAAAAAAAAUUCUAUGAUGUGAGGCAUUGUUUGAAACAACCUCCUAAAACCUGAGGGUUUUCUGAAAAACUUGAUAGAAUUGUCAAUGUUCUCUGAAACCUUUAUUUCUCAGCCUCUGUAGUAGAUAGAAACAAAAUAAAAACCAUCUGAAUGUAAA